GACGGACUGAAGAAAUUGAAGUGCAGUGACUGAUUGGUUUGGUAGGUAUAUAUGAUCCAGAGGGAGAGCAAGCACCAAUCUUCGAGAUUUUUUUUUCUUUUUUGAGAAAAAAAGGGAGGGGUAGACCCACCUACAACGCACCAAUUUUUGAGAAUUUAAACUUCAUCACCAUCUGGUUUGGUAAGCUGCUUUUCAUUUCCAAUUAGACAGCACAGGCACCACUACGUUGUAGGUACAGCAUGCUGAAUCAAUAACCUGUGUCAUGGCUUGCAUUUGGAGGGUUGUACUGCUUAUGGGGAUUGCCAUCAUUGCAUUGCAUUCUUCUUGUUGGGGGAAAAUAAAUCGCCCUGAAGCACGUGAGCAGAUCACCAGCACGUGACUGAAGGCGCCCAACUUGGAGGCGCCCGACCUGGAGGCGCCCGACCUGAAGACGCCGGCUCCAGAGGCGCUCAACCUGAGGGCGCCCGAUCUGAAAGCGUCUGACCCAAGGGCGUCUGACCUGGAGGCGUCCGACUUCAAGUUGCCCAACUGAAAGUCCGACCUCAGGGCUCUCGACCCGGCCCCUGGCCAGACACCCGAUUCCGAGACCCCCGACCUGGGCACCCGACCUCAGCACCCUCGACCUCAGAAGUCCGACCUUGCUACCCAUCUGUUGCGGUCACAUCCUUCUACAGCUCGACCGGGGACCAUGCCCUGCUACCGUUGUCAACAAUUAAUGCGCAUGGCCUCCGCAGAUCUCCGGCUCACUCAACAAUUAAUACGCAUGGCCUCCGCAGAUCUCCGGCUCACUCAACAAUUAAUGCGCAUGCUAUCUACGGAUCAAGUCCUUCACGGCAAACAGCUGACUUAUUCGGCUACGUCCGAUCAGCCACGACGACUCACCGGCUCCGGCCUGAUCUCCUACGGCAAUGUAAUAAUUCACACGAUCGUGCAUUAAUUCAGAUGACAUGCUCAAUUAUGACGGUAACCCGUUCGCCCCGUUACAUCACAGGUAUACCUGUAUCCCUCUAUAAAAGAAAA
rnacentral:lncRNA from 1 species